ACAGGUUGUGUUGGCUCCAGGUUUUCAGCAUUGUGCCUGCACUGAAUAAAAGCAAGCAGCUCCAGCUUCUCGGGGCUGUUCUCUGGCCACUAGAGCCAGGCAGUCACCUAGCUGCUCUUACACUACAUACAUCAGUGUCUGAGUACUGAUUUCCUCUCUUGGCCAGGGUCUGUGGGACAGACCCGGCAGGUGGGCCCUGUGUGAGGAAGGCUGCAAUGGACUGCAGUGGAACCCUCGGAAACGAAAGUGAGGUGACUGCACAGUGGGUUUUGAGGGAGAGGAAUAAAAUAUGAAUGUGUCUUCAUCAACAUUUUCACCUGGACAUCGUCUUCUAUCCAUUACCUCUUUCAAUCCCAGCACCAACCCAGGAAAGUGGGCAAGGCUGUGUCCCCUGGGAGCAGAACAGAGAAUUGGAGGACCAGCACUCGAGAGCUGAACAAGCCUGCAUGGCCAUCCAUCAUAGUUACUAAAGAGAUUAGACUAACUCUCUGUAGCUCCAGAGGGCAAAAGAAGAACCACUUGGUAGAAUCCACCAGAGGCAGUUUUGAAUUCGAAGAGAAGAAGCACUUUCUAAUGGUCACACAGCUGGCCAGCCCUGAGUGAGCUGUCCCAGGAAGCUCAGUGUGAGGAGCUCUUCAAUCCCUACCUUCUAUGAAACAGGUGAAAAUUACUGGAAAAAAAAAAAACUUAAGUGCCUAGAAAUGACCAUAUAGUAAAUGAAGAAGCAUGCGUUCAAGAAAAUCUACUGAAAAUUGAUAAGAACUGCUAGACUCUGUAAUAUUUGAACCAAGAUCCAUAUUUUUCCCACUCCUUCCCAGCUCCACAAGAUAAAAAUUUCACUCAAGAUUGGUAAAUCCAAAACACAGAACUUCCUCUCCCUGCAG
rnacentral:lncRNA from 1 species